GUGGGGAAUCUUAGACAAUGGGGGAAACCCUGAUCUAGCCAUGCCGCGUGAGCGAUGAAGGCCUUAGGGUUGUAAAGCUCUUUCAGCUGGGAAGAUAAUGACUGUACCAGCAGAAGAAGCCCCGGCUAACUCCGUGCCAGCAGCCGCGGUAAUACGGAGGGGGCUAGCGUUGUUCGGAAUUACUGGGCGUAAAGCGCACGUAGGCGGACCGGAAAGUCAGAGGUGAAAUCCCAGGGCUCAACCUUGGAACUGCCUUUGAAACUCCUGGUCUUGAGGUCGAGAGAGGUGAGUGGAAUUCCGAGUGUAGAGGUGAAAUUCGUAGAUAUUCGGAGGAACACCAGUGGCGAAGGCGGCUCACUGGCUCGAUACUGACGCUGAGGUGCGAAAGCGUGGGGAGCAAACAGGAUUAGAAACCCGUGUAGUCC
rnacentral:rRNA from 1 species